AGUCGAACGAACUCUGGUAUUGAUUGGUGCUUGCAUCAUGAUUUACAUUUGAGUGAGUGGCGAACUGGUGAGAAGCACGUGGGAAACCUGCCCAGAAGCGGGGGAUAACACCUGAAAACAGAUGCUUAUACUGCAUAACAACUUGUACCGCAUGGUCCGAGUUUGAAAGAUGGCUUCGGCUAUCACUUUUGGAUGGUCCCGCGGCGUAUUAGCUAGAUGGUGGGGUAACGGCUCGCCAUGGCCAUGAUACAUAGGCCACCUGAAAUGGNAAUCGUCCCCAUUGUCACUGAGAUUGUCACCAGACUCCUACCGGAAGUGCCCAUCUGAAAGCUUCCACCAGGAAAUAAAGUUUGAUGUACCUUCCCCG
rnacentral:rRNA from 1 species